GACGAACGUUGGCGGCGUGCUUAAUACAUGCAAGUCAACUGAAGCAGUGGUAGCAAUAUCGCUGUGGAGGUGGCGCACGGGUGAGUAACACGUAGGUAAUCUGCCUUCAGGUCUGGCAUAACUCCGGGAAACCGGGGCUAAUAGCAGAUGAUGCAGCGGCUCGACAUCGAGACAGUUGUUAAAGCUAUGGCGCCUGAAGAUGAGCCUGCGUCUGAUUAGCUAGUUGGCGGGGUAACGGCCCACCAAGGCAACGAUCAGUAGCUGGUCUGAGAGGAUGAUCAGCCACACUGGAACUGAGACACGGUCCAGACUCCUACGGGAGGCAGCAGUAAGGAAUAUUGCUCAAUGGGAGAAAUCCUGAAGCAGCAACGCCGCGUGAGGGACGAAGGGCUUUUGCUUGUAAACCUCUGUAGUGAGAGAAAAAAAUCCCAAUCUUUGACAUGAUGGUAUCUCAAAAGUAAGCCCCGGCUAACUACGUG
rnacentral:rRNA from 1 species